rnacentral:rRNA from 11 species
GGUACGCGAGCUGGGUUCAGAACGUCGUGAGACAGUUCGGUCCAUAUCCGGUGUAGGCGUUAGAAUAUUGAGAGGAUCUUUCUUUAGUACGAGAGGACCGAGAAGGACGUACCGCUAGUGUACCAGUUAUCAUGCCAAUGGUAAACGCUGGGUAGCUAUGUACGGAAAGGAUAACCACUGAAAGCAUCUAAGUGGGAAGCCCACCUCAAGAUGAGUAUUCUCAUUGUGAAAACAAGUAAGGUCACGGGAAGACUACCCGUUGAUAGGCAUCAAGUGUAAGUGCAGCAAUGUAUUCAGCUGAGAUGUACUAACAGACCGA